rnacentral:rRNA from 1 species
AAACGACUCUCGGCAACGGAUAUCUCGGCUCUCGCAUCGAUGAAGAACGUAGCGAAAUGCGAUACUUGGUGUGAAUUGCAGAAUCCCGCGAACCAUCGAGUCUUUGAACGCAAGUUGCGCCCGAAGCCUUCUGGCCAAGGGCACGUCUGCCUGGGUGUCACACG